UUUUGAUCAUACAAUCAAAAUUUUAUUAAGUUCAGUUUGUGUGUUACAUAUUUUAAUGACAGUGGUGUAAAACUCAGCCAAACAGUAUCCAAUUACAUUUGUAAAAAUUCAGCAUGGGUAUUAAAACACAUCAAUAAACAGGAGAAAACAUGUAAAAUGAAUGGCGGACAUAUAACUUCCUCAAAAGAGACAUUUCAUUUGAUUAGAAAAAACAAACAAGUGGUAAAAAUUUGGCCUCUCUUAUUUUGCAUUAGAAAAUACAUGCUACAAACCACAAAUGCAAAGAUACAGCAGCCAGCACUGUGAAAAUCCACUGUCACUUAAAGUUGGAGGACAUGAACUGAAAAUCUGAAACUGUCAUUGCUUUCAUCCUAAACAUGUACAAAGAUUCAGAAGUUAGAUUUACUGCCAUUACCAAUGGGAGAGCUAACACAACGCACAAGUUAAACAACUUGCAAUAGUGUUGUCUACACUCCUGGAACAUUAGUUUGUGUAUUACAUUCUGCGUUGCAGAUCUUUGCUUUACAAUGUUUCAUGAUUGCUGCUUAAGAAAACAAAGAUAUAAACAAACAUACCACUGCAUUAAAACUGUACUGUUAAACCACAACUGAACAUGAGGACCAAGUUUUGGACCUCAAAAGGCAUCAAUGAAAAAUUUUCACAUGUAGAAACGGUAAAGCACAGCGAACUGCAGCUGCUUUUAUACAUCCAGACAAUGACCUGACCACAGAUUUCUGUUAGUGAAGAAUUAUGUCACAGAUAAGCCAAGUGUAAUGUGAGAGCUUGUAAUGGAGCAAUGUUAGAACAGUAUACUUUCUAUUGUUACAUAAGAACUGGGAGAUUUUAGAGAACUUAGGUAUUCAUACCAACCUGUAUUUUAUACUUACAUGUGUUAUCUGAUGAUAAGACUGCUGCACAUACACUCAGGUCCAUAAGUAUAUGGACAAUGACACACUUUAUUUGUGUUUGUUUUUUUGUAAUUUAGCCUUUGUGGACCACCACACAACGAUGGAUUUUAAAUCAAAAAUAAACCAAAAUAAACAGCUGCCAAAUCAAUAAUCUGUUACAAGAAGGGACACAGGGGGGCAGCUGAGCAACACCAGAAAGCGUAGGAAACUACAGGAGAAACUAAAGUGGAUGAUCGCAGAAUUCUUUUCAGAAUCAGAAUCAGAAUCAGAAUACUUUAUUAAUCCCGAAGGAAAUUAGGGUAACAGCAGGCAGCACGCUAAUGGCGCAUGCGCACUUACAAAGGAACCUUCUGACCAACUUUACACAAACAUCACUUUGGGGAGACAUGUCAGAAAGGUAGGCUGAUAGGAAAAAAACAACAAAAAUACAUAACAUGAGGUAAGAGGAGGAGAAAAAAAACUCCACUCAGACUGAGCUCCUAGUGGGAGAACAGUUUGAUAACAGAAAAAACACCUCAGCACAAAAAGCACAUGACUAUCAGUACACCAUAGAAACACAAGAAAGGGUAAGAGAGAGCCGGUGUAGACAGCGCAUCUGGUCCUGCAGCGUGUCUGCG
ensembl:lncRNA